UGAACCCGGUUCCCACGUGCAGACGAGAGACUUGUGUAAAGAAGAGGGUGCUUUUUCCAUCGGAGUAGGGGGUGUCUUUUAGUUGCAGGCGCCUCUAGUAGUUUGUAGUCUUGGAGUAGUAGCAGUGCGUUCAAUUUUUGUUCCAGGCCUAACUUUGUGUGUGUGAGAGAUAUAGGCCUAGAUUCUAGAUCAAUUUGUGUGUGUUCUAGUUCUAUUUCCUAGUUCCUAUUGGCUUUAUUUAUUUCUGUUUUUAAAAAAUAUAUAUUUCUUUGGAAUGGAUCAGGCUUUACUUCCAGUGACCAAUGGGUCAAUUGAGGAUGACCACGAUCCAGGGAAAAUGUUUGUUGGUGGAUUAUCUUGGCAGACGACAGGAGAUACAUUACGGGAGUAUUUUCAUAAAUUUGGUGAAAUUAAAGAAGCACAGGUUAUGAAGGAUCCUACCACACGGAGAUCAAGGGGAUUUGGAUUUGUCACGUUCGUAGAUCCAGAAAGUAUUACUAAAGUUAUGGAUAGUAAACCUCAUCACAUAGACUCCAAAGGGGUGGACCCUAAAGUCGCUGUACCAAAGAAAUUAAACCCUAAGUUGGUGACCAAGACGAAAAAAAUCUUUAUAGGCGGGCUGUCCUCCACCACAACCAUAGAGGACUGCAAGAAAUAUUUCUCACAGUACGGCAAGAUAGAAGAUGGCAUGCUUAUGUUUGACAAGACUACAAAUAGACAUAGGGGUUUUGGUUUUAUCACAUUUGAAUCAGAAGAUGUAGUAGAAAAAGUGGUAGAGAUUCAUUUUCAUGAAAUUAACAGUAAAAUGGUUGAAUGUAAGAAGGCCCAGCCUAAAGAAGUGAUGGCACCUACCAACCCACUAGCCAGAGGGCGUGGCAUUGCUCGAGGUGCCCUUGUGACAGAGGAUGGCGCGAUAUUCUAUACAGAUUCCUUGAUUGGCGAAGAUGCCCUUAUUCCAGAAAUAUGCUACAUGCACCCGGGCUUCCCUGGAUUUGCAACGGCAGCUGCAUAUGGACGAGCAGGUUUCCCACCCAUGGCCCCUGGCUACAUCACAUACCCUACAGUCAGCCUCAAUUCUGCCAUGAUGUCCAACAUGGGCUUGACAUCUACAGCCAGUGGCAGUCCCACUGCCAUGUCCCAGGUGUCGCCUUCUCCUGGGAUCACCCUGACACAGGCUUCACCUAUCUUUGCAUGUGGUACCAACCUUGGGUCGCAAAUACCUCGAGCCCAGCCAUACGCCACAGCUGCGCCUUGUGUAGGGGUGACCAGGCCGUCCAAUACAUGUAACACCUCAUUCUUCACAUUGGCCAAUCACGUUCCUGUCCCUGGCUAUGGUUAUCUUCCCUUGUCAACUGCCGGCUCUGAAAGAGCCCUGAUGGCCAACCCUGGUACAGCAUAUGCUGAUUUUGCUAACCCAGUUGCUACAGCCCCUCUGGCCCUCCCUGCCCCUCCGUCUCUGACCCACCGUAACGAUAAUGGAAGCACAGCCCUUACUUUAGCCACCACAACACAGCUACAGAGAGAGCAAAUGACAAGGGCGGCAGCUGGGCACAGCUUUGGAGCAACUGUUUUGGGAGGGUUUGGAACCUACCCCACUACUACCUCCCCCAUGAAUCGUGCAUUUACCAACUCUCCCCCAACUCCAAUGGACAUGUACUCGCAGGAGAGUGUGACCUAUAUUCAGCACAAUGCUGCUACCUCACCCCAGCCUGGGGCGUUCGCUGCAUUUGGUUUGGGCAGGGGUCUUGUAGCCACAGCUUAUAACGCUGGUUUCCACUGACACAGGAUGACCAAUUUAUUAAAUUGUAGGAAUGAAAUGAUUUUUAAAAAUUCAAGACCCAAGCCCUAACCAAUGCUCUACUAGCAGGUCACAAAUUUUAAUACCAACUAUCUUUCUGUGGAUCCCCUCCACUUGGGCUCUGAAGGUGCUUAUCAGCAGGGGUCAACUCAAUGGAAGUGGAUGCAGUCUUAUGAUGUUUUUUUUUUUUUUUAAUAUUGUACUAAGCAAUGAACUAACUUUACACCUUGUAAAACAGCAAAGGUUUUACAACUUUUUUUUGUUGUUUUGAUAAAUAUUUAUUCCAUACUUUAUCACCUAAAAUUAUUUCCAUGCCCAUUAUUUUUUUAUUUAUUAUCUCAUUAUAGCAGAAAAACAAUACCAGUCAAAAAUAACUUUAAGACAAUGUACUUUUAAUUUUUUUAAUUUUUUUUUUUACCAUCUUAGACAUUUCUAAAACCGAUGCAAAUAUCAAGAAGAAUUUGAAGAAAACUUGUGUGUGAAACUGUCAGCUUAAAACUAAAAGUUAACCUAUGUCUCAGCUCCAAGAAUUCUUGGGCAAACACUGAUGUGUUCUUCUCUUACCAUAAAUACAUGUGUAAAAUUUGUGUUUUAUUUUUUAUUGCUUUGUUGUUGUUUUUUUAAUGAGAGUUAGGAAAAACAACAAAAAAAAAACUCUUCAAAGGUAUUGAAGUGUUCAAUAAUCUAUCAUAACUGUUCAAACCAUUUGAAUGAACAGUAGGAUAUGACUUUGCUAGUUAUACUGGUCUUUUUUUUUUUACUUCCAUAAAAAGGUUUCCAUACAUCUAGGCCAAUGUGUACAUACAGUAUAUUUAACUUUAAAAACAAAACAUUCAAUGUUACCUACUAAUAACGCUGGUGUACUUACCUUUUUUAUUGUUUCCUUUCAGAAACUCAUCCACAAAUUGAUAUUGUAUCACAUAUUUAUAGAACAUCUAAUUUUAUUUAUAGUUGUGCUGUAUUGAACAAGUUGAGCAUAUUACUUCUAAAUUUAGAACAAAAGAAGCCAAGACUUGGAGCUUCACUGAGAUCUCUUCCUUCAAUGUGUCAUCUCUGAUUACAAUGCAAAACACAUUUGUUAAACCAAGAAUCAUGUGAUGAGACUUAUUUAUUUCACUGUGCACCAUCUUCUGGACUAAACCACCUUAUUGAACAACUGGCUUCCAACCUUUUCAACUUUUUUUUUUUUCCCUUUUUGCAAUUUUUUUUUUUUCUUUCAAGUUUAUUUCUUGUAUAUAUAAUAUAUAAAUGAUAAAAUUGUACAGAAUUGUCUGAUAUAUCAUUACCCAACAUAUUGUUUCCCUUUGUUUUUCCUUUGGUUCUCUCCCUUAUAAACCACUAAAACUUAUUCAUGACUAAAUAUGACUUUGUCUUAUUCCAUAUUUAAAAGAGAAAAAAAAAUUGAAAAAACAAGCAAUAAUUUUGUAUAUUUGUGUUGAUGUUAAAGAAAUUGAAUGUGAGUUUAUUCAAAUAAAUAGAUAAGUCAGAUAAGCCAUGUCCAGUCAGUAAUUCUGUUCUCCUCUAAGCCUUUCAAAUUAAGGCUUUUUUUCAGAAAAAAAAAUUUUUUUUGUAAUUUGUUAAUAGACUAGCAAAAGAAAUAUCUUUGGAUCAUUUAUGGAAAUAUUAAAAGAAACAAAUACUUAGAAACAAUAACAUAUUUAUAAUACUUAAAUCAAUUGAUUUUUUUGAUUUUUUUUUUUGGUACUAUAUUGAAAAGUCACAAAAUCUUUAUAAUCUAAAACACUUAUUCUUGCAAAAGAAUGUCCUGCAGCAUAUAAAUUGUAAAUGAUCACAACUUGUUGUUCUUUUGUAAAUGUGAUUUUUUGGGGGGUCAAUAUCUUGUUGAUUUUCUCCUAAAUUAAAGAAAAUUUUUAAAAUCAUGUGAAAAAAAAUCUACAUUGAACUAAUGUCAAAGAUUUGGUCUCAGUGCCAUAUAAAAUGAAGAAGAUUUGGGGAUCAUUAUUUCUGAUAGAUACUUAACACAGUCCUGUAGUGCUUGAAAUGCUAAUCACAUGGUAUCUGAGUCCAUGUCUAGCUGUCCAGUCCUAGGUCAUUGGUAAACUCUUCAUGGACCCCCUUUUUUUUUUUUAUUCCUUCCAAUCUCAUGCAUGCUUGUAUUUCAAGAAGGCGUUAAUGACUGAAUGCCUCAAUUGUGACCCUGGAAGUACUGUCACAUGACCAACUAAUUACCAGCAAGUGUUUGUGUCUAGUGUCAUUGAUGAAUAAAAAAUGUCAAUUGACUUCUGCCAGCUUCGUCUUACAGGCUUACAACAUUGUGUACAAUAUAAAUAUCAACAAUGACCUACUGUGAAUAUCAACCAAUAUUUUUGUUUUCUUUGUUCUUAAUGUCACCUUGUUGUUAAGAUUCUAUUAAUGAUGGUGUUAUUUACUCUUCUAUGUGAUAUGAAUCAUUUGUCACCUCAUUGUUAUGACUAAAACAAUUUUGUUCAUUUAUUUAUUUUCAAAAUGACAUCAUUUACUUAUUUUGCAUAUAUUUAAAAUUAUCAUUUAGUAAUAUUUCAUUUCUUUUUUUUUUAGCUUUUAUUUAAAAUCAAUAGAAUUUUUAUGAAAUAAAAAAAGAUUAAAAAUUACCAUGUGUUUGAUAACUGCCACUUAAUUUUUAUGGUACAUAAGAUUUUAACAUGAUAAAUUUUAUUUUGCAAAAGAAUUAAAUUUAAAAAAACACAAUUGGGUAAUUAGAGAUUGUGAAAUUGUAUACAAUAAUCUCUAUUCACUUUUAAAUGUCUUUUACAGAAAAAUAAAAUAUUAUAUGAGUAUUAGAAAAAGGAUAAUACCGGUAGUAGUUAAAAGGAAUUUUGGCUAAGAACAAAACUUCAAGUCUGUCUGCUAUGUUCAUUAUUAAACUAAGAAAAUCUUUUUCAUUCUGAAGAAAAGUGAUGUUUUAAACUCUAUUGAACAGAGUUUCUUUUAUUUCUAGUUAGUUUGUGUGUGUGUGUGUAUUUGUGAAUGAAAUGUAACAUUUCGUAUCCACAUCAAUGUCCACAUCAGUGUCCACAUAUCAACUUGACAUUUUACUUUUGGAUCAUUGACUGAACUGUCUCGCUUCAUUUUUCCUUUUUUAUAAUUUAAUCUGUAAGUCUGCUUCACAUGAUAACUAUGUUUAUGAAUAUUCAUAUAUAUAUAUUUUUACAAAUAUCCUGGUAAUAUAUUCACACUUAUUUUACAGACAUUUAUUUAUAUGUUAAAUUGUGUGUGUGUGUGUUUAUUGUUUUGUUUGGCUAAUAAUUCAAAUCAGACAAGAAGUUUUUUAUUUUAUGCUUAACUUUAAAGGAAUUCAUUUUAAAACAACUUAUUUAUAUAUAGUUAUUAUUUUACGCUCUUUAAAUUUUAAAUUAGAGUCCUUUAAGAACAAAGUUCUGUGUAUUUCUUUUUUUUUUAAUUCUUAUUUUCUGUAUAUACAAGUAGCCAACAUUUAUAAAUAUUUUUUAUGCUUUCACACAAUUUCUAAAUAUAAAUUGAGCUUUCUAAAAUAGAUUCUAAUCAUUUUGUUAAUAUGAGACAAAAAUGUAAAUAAAACAUAGAGCUUCAUCACAGAAUCUUUGCCAAUUUUUAAUGUAUCCAAAUAGCUUUCACUUAAAAUUGUAUUAUCAAUGCAUAAAAAAAAACUAAAAAUGAAGUAAAAUUGUCCUACAUUGGCUACUAAUACAUAAUAUAUUCAUUUAAAUAGUUGAACAUCACAUUUAUAAAUAAAUAGGACAUUUUUUACUGAAUUUUUUAUUGAUAGCUAUACUUGCACUAUGGCUUACUGAAAAUAUGGCCUACAUUUUUAUGGCAAGAAAAUAUUGACAUAAGUUGAAGGACUAGGAUGUAACAUUAUUUUUUAAGAAAUGUUCAAAAUUCAUCAAACGUUUAUAAAUAUGGGUAAAUUGUUUUUUCUUUGCUAUCAGGGCAAUUAGUUGAAGAAAUAUAAUGAAAGUAUAAAAUAACAAUCUUGUAGCAUUUAUUUCAAGAAUUUCAUUUUCUGAUUUUACUCUUCCUUUGAAAAUUAGGAAUUUUUAUUAUUUUAAGAUUUAUAUAUUUUUUUUUUAAAUUUCAUUUGCUUUGUCCCUUCUUCCCAAUGUCUUGUUACACUUUGUACUUAAGUGAAAGUACCAAUAGAAUGGACUGAUCUCAUAAGUAGGAAAUGAAUAGUCAUUUAUUUAAAAUAAUCAUUGUCUGUAUUUUUUUAUAACGAGCAAAGAAAUAUUUAGACCAUUAAAUCAUUACUUAUUCCAAUCUUCUGUAGUUUUUUUUUUCUUUUUACUAUGCAAUUGCUUUAAUGGCACAAGUUUUUGUUCUGAUAAAAAGAUUGUCAUAAAAAAUCAUCAUAGUAAAAAAAAUUUUUGUUUCUAUUUAAGAGUGUGAAAAUCAAGUCACAAUUUUCCGAUCAAAGUUUUUGUGAAUGGGUAAUAGAGAAAAAAAGGAUGUAAUUGUAUUGUGAUAUACAAAUGUUUAUUUAUUUUGAAUCUAGAUUUGAGUAAAUUAACAAACUGAUGAAUGUUACUCUGUGAUCUGGAUGUUUGAUCUUUCAUUUGAUUGGACAGUUUGUAAUGAUUCUGCACUAAGUGGAAUUUUUUUUUGAAACAAAAGUUUUAAACACUAAAAGUCCAAUUAGUAUUCUACAAGUUUGACUUCUUUUUCAACUUGAAUUAUAAUUACUUAUAAAAUAAAAUUAAUAAAAAUUAUUCAUCAAUUGCUUAAUAACAUUUUUUUUUAAUUUAUUUUUUCUUAAUUGUUUUGGAUGACAAGGGAAAAAUCGGUUUUGUGACGAAACAAUUGUUGAAUCGAAGAUAAUAAAGCAAUAGUUUCAUAUUUCUCUCAUGUUUGAUGUUUAAUGAAACAGUUGAACACACUUACACAACUUUUGGAAAGGAAAUGUUCAUGGAUUUGUUUUAAAUAAAUAUAGGCCCUACCUUUUGUUUUUAAAUGUUGGCCUAUACACUUUUUCAAAUUUGCCAUAACUUGUUAAAAAAAAGUUUUUUGUUAUAUUAUAAAUCUAAUUGUAGGAAGCCUGGUCUAAAUAACAAUCAAUUUAUCUAGGGCUGCUUUUGUUUAAACCUUCUCUCAAUAAAAUGAAAAUAUCUCAUAUAAUGUAUUGCACAUGAUAUAAUGAUUCUGUUUUGUCAAUAUAUAUAAUGUAUCUUUAUAUAUAUAUAUAUAUCUACAUGCAUAUGUAUAAUUAUUGUAAUCGAUCUACAGGGUUUCUUGUUUCUAUAUUUACUAAUCAUCAAUUGGUGCAAAUGUCUUUUUUAAAUUUUUUUUUCAAUCUAUUCCCUAUCAAUUGAUAUUAAUGGUCCGCUUUCUAUUAUGUUCUUGCUACACAUUUCCACAACAUAAACAUCAAUAUUGGCAUUGAAUAACUUGUCAUUUAAAAUCUGUGAACAGUUUUUCAUCUAAAAAUAAAACACUUGGAGAAUGGGGUAAUUGAUGUCAGUUUUUGUUUGUCAUUAAAUUCUAUAUUUAUUUCCAACUGAAACCACAGCUUGAUUAUUUUUUUCUGUUUUUGCUUUUUUUUUUUUUUUUAUCAGAUUGCUAUUUUCUGCCUUAUUUUAAAAUAUAAAUUAAGCUGUAUUUUUUUUACUUACUUACAGUAAACAGCAGUUAAAAAAUAAUUGUGAGUAAGUUUGUUUUAAAGUGGCAAUAAAGAUUGUCUGUGCAUGUUUUUGUUUUCACUUAGUUUAUUUUAUUGUUGUUUUUUUUUCCUCAUAGGGUUUUCAUGAUAGAGUAAUUGAUGAUCUAAACAAAAUCUUUCUUUUUAUGAAAAUGUCUUCCUAUGUUGCACUUAACAUUUGGCCAAUAAAAACUAGCAACUGAUGUCAUUAUUCUAGAAAUGAUUUACUGCAAAACAAGUUUCAACAUGAGCUAGAAUAAUAAGUGUGGGUUAGAUGAUUUUGUUAGAUUAAAUUUUGAUUAAAAUUAGUAAGAAAUUUAAACAAAUAAUAAUAAAAGUUACUUCACAUCUGGUAAAUAUGAAUACAUUUCAUUGACAUUAUCUAUGAGGUUCAUAAGUUUCUUAAGCCUAUCACAUUUUUCUAUAGUCAUUUCAGUGUUACAAAUCUGAUCUAUUACAAUGAAGAUCUGUUUUUAUUCCAUUAAAAAUAAUUUAAACACUCUUCAGAUGUCUGGAGAGGAGUAUUCAUUAUUUUCCUUUUAUUCAAUGACUCUGUAUAUUUGACAAACAUAGUCUGAUUUUGUGGUUUGGGGGCUUUGUUUAAUGGAUACUAAAAGUGCAAUGAAAUAUUCUUCUAGAUAUUUGUGUUUAUUUUCUGUAGCUGAACAUAUAGACAAAAAAAAAAAAGUCAAAGUAACUUCUGAGAAUGUGAUCAUUUGAAUGGUUUAUAGAGAAAAGUCUUUGAUACAUUCACAUGAUAAAAUUGUGAAUAGGGUUCAAUAAUUGUUGUGGAUGUGAUCCAGAUGGAUACUUUGAAACUCACGAUGGGAAAGCUGGGUAAAAAACAUAAAUAGUUUUCCUGCUUUUCAGUGAACUAAGAAAGCUUAAGGUAGAUCAACAAUCAUUUUUAUAUAGCUCUUUUCUUUUUCUUUUUUUUUUAUGACAAAACAUCGAAAACCAAUUUGGUGAAAAGGAAACCUUUUUAAAUGGCAGCAAACCUGUAUAGCAGGAGUUUUCCAUCCACUUAGUUAUUGAAGUGUGUGAGAAUGAACUGACAUGAUGGUCCAUAGUUAUCAGUUCAACCAAUCAUUGGAAGAGAAAAUAUACAAAUGUUUAAAAAAAAACUUAAAAAAAUAGAAUUUCACUUCUGUGAAAAUAGAAUCUCUUGAUAAGACAAUAUUCUAUAAAUGAAGAUAUUAAACUAAAAUGAAAAUCAACUAUUAAUAGUAAUACCAAUUACAACUACAUUUCCUGAACUAUAGUUUGUAUGUGACACUUUAAUUUUUUUAUUUUUUUGUAUCAUACAUAUAUACAAAAUAUGGCUUACAUUUUUUUUGUGAGACUAAAUUUAGAAAGUUUUUGGUCUUUAUUUUGUAAUCUAUAACUCUAGAGAGAAAGUGUGUUUUUGAAACUGUUGCUAGUGAUAGUCGAUGCUGGACCACAAAUAAAGUCUGAGUUUCUCCCUGA